GACGAACGCUGGCGGCGUGCCUAACACAUGCAAGUCGAACGGAAAACAUAGCAAUAUGUUUUUAGUGGCGAACGGGUGAGUAACGCGUAGACAACCAACCUUUUUGUGGGGGACAACACUUCGAAAGGAGUGCUAAUACCGCAUACGCUCCAGAUGCCGCCUGGCAUUUGGAGGAAAGGAGCUGUAAGGCUUCGCAAAAAGACGGGUCUGCGUCUGAUUAGCUAGUUGGAGGGGUAACGGCCCACCAAGGCGACGAUCAGUAGCCGGUCUGAGGGGAUGGACGGCCACACUGGGACUGAGACACGGCCCAGACUCCUACGGGAGGCAGCAGUGGGGAAUCUUCCGCAAUGGACGAAAGUCUGACGGAGCGACGCCGCGUGAGUGAUGAAGGCCCUUGGGUCGUAAAGCUCUGUCAUCAGGGACGAACGGUCACGUCAGGAAAUGGGCGUGAAUUGACGGUACCUGAGAAGGAAGCCACGGCUAACUACGUGCCAGCCGCCGCGGUAA
rnacentral:rRNA from 1 species